GACCCAUUAGCUCAGUAGGUAGAGCACCUGACUUUUAAUCAGGGUGUCCCGCGUUCGAGUCGCGGAUGGGUCA
rfam:[Clostridium] paradoxum JW-YL-7 = DSM 7308 strain JW-YL-7 ctg1, whole genome shotgun sequence.